rnacentral:misc_RNA from 1 species
AAUAAAAAUACAUGCAUACUGAUAUUAUUAUAUUAAUCAUGCAAUACAGAAUUAUAAAUUUAGUUAAAUGUAAUUUGACAAAUACAUGCUAUGCACAAAUUCUCUGUUGUUGCAGUGAUAAAAUAUUGCAAUAUGCAUAUUUAAUUAAGAUAUUAGAAGCAGAAUAUAUAACAAAAAAAACUACUAUAUCAGAAGGGGAUAGAGAGAGAGACAUGGGUGUUCCCGCCAUACACCAGCCGGGUGCCAAGUUAUAGAAAAAGUGCCUAAAUUCUCUAAUUCUUCUUUGACAAUUUGUACUACCAAGGCAUAGACCAAAGAACAAGAGGCAAGGGAAAUGACUUAAUGAGCUGGAGAGCAAUGGGAGUUGAUGCCUAUUGAAUAUCGAUAUGUUUCCAUGUUAUUUAUUUCUUACAUGUUGAAGGAGGAAGGCAUUUAGGAGAUUAUGCACUUGGUCCGGGGCAAGAGUUUUCCCUUAUCAGCAGGUUAGGUUUCCUCCUGCUCCCAUCACAGGAGGAAGGAAAAUAAAAUCUAGAACCAGCAGUCCUCCACAACACACUUUCAUUUAAUUAUAGAACAUUCAGCAUUUACUAAGCACUAUUAAAAAUCCCCCUACCUUCCUCGUCUGUCAUUCUUUAUGUUCUAAUAAUUUAAUAUCUAGCUACUAAACUUCACAGAAGAAUGAAGAUCACAACCAAUAAGCAUUCUUUCUCAUAUCCACCAAGCAUUUUUGCUCAUGC